GCAAAGGUAGCAUAAUAAUUUGCCUCCUAAUUAGAGGCUAGAAUGAAUGGACUUUCUUUGCUCAACUGUCUCAAGCUUAUAAAUAAAACUUCUUAUUCAAGUGAAGAAUCUUGAAUAAAACAGCAGGACCAAAAGACCCUAUAGAGCUUUAUGAAAGCAACAAAUAUAAAUGAAACCUUUCAUUUCAUUGGGGCGAUGAAAGAAUCAACCUUCUUAAACUAAUAUGAGCCACAACUCAAAUUACUAUGCUCCCAGAGAGAUUAAGAAAAAGCUACCUUAGGGAUAACAGUCUAAUUUUCCUCAAUAGCCCACAUCUACAGGAAAGAUUGGCAC
rnacentral:rRNA from 1 species